UGGUACUUGGAGACUAGCCAUUGCACUC
rnacentral:piRNA from 1 species